rnacentral:lncRNA from 1 species
AAUUUGUCAAGAAAUGGCUCUCUAUCUAUGUAUUUCUUAAUUGAUCUAUUGGAGAAGACCAAAAAAUAUAAUAAAUUCAUGGUAAAUCAAUCCAUAAAUUAUUAUUAUUUUUUUAGAACCACGGGUGUCCGGACAACUUACGCGCAUGUCGAAUAUCAAUUUUAAUAUAUCGUAGAAUAAAGAAAAGAAUAUCUGGUGGAUGGCUACUUGCUUUUUUCGCUCAAAGCCUAAAACCACAAUAAAGAAAAUUGCACAAGAAAUAAUAAAUUCAACAAAAUUCAAAACAAAAUUUACAUAAACAAUCGUAAAUGUCAAAUCCAAAGAAAAUUAUCAAUUACUUAUUUGUCAAUUGUAAAUGCAAGAAAGAAUUAGGGGAAAAUUACAAAUCAAACCAUGUGAUGGAGAAAUCGAAUAUCUAGAGAUUGUUAUUUCUUCUGGAAGAGUUUGCUCUUGUUGCAUUUGAUUUUGAUCCAAUUCACACCACUGGAGGCUCCGUCCUUAACUUUCUUCGCCGCAUCCUUAGUUUUCUCCACACCGGCGUCGAAUUUCAUGCUCAAUCUUUUCGACAAUUUCGGUUGCGGUCCGCCGAGUCUUUUCGGCUGUUUCGCAGUGUGGCCGCCUCCUCCUCCUACCCACGGAUUAUUGCUCAUCACCAUUAAUUGAUUACGAAAAUUUCAAGCCUCAAGAAAAGAUCGAUUUCUUCCUUGAGAUAGAAGAGAAGGUUGUGAAGAAAUCACCAAUGACGUUUCCUCUUUGGAGUCUUUUAUACGUAGAAAGAAGGGUUGGCACACAUUUUUUGUUCGUGCCCACCUCAACAAAAUAACCUAAAAUUUAUUUUAUUUUUCUAUUUA